GAAAUGCGAUAAGUAAUGUGAAUUGCAGAAUUCAGUGAAUCAUCGAAUCUUUGAACGCACAUUGCACCCGCCAGUAUUCUGGCGGGCAUGCCUGUUCGAGCGUCAUUUCAACCAUCAAGCCCCCGGGCUUGUGUUGGGGACCUGCGGCUGCCGCAGGCCCCGAAAACCAGUGGCGGGCUCGCUGUCACACCGGGCGUAGUAGAUUUUUCGUCUCGCCCAGGGCGUGCUGCGGGUUCCGGCCGUUAAAAAGCCUCUCUUUUAACCCAAGGUUGACCUCGGAUCAGGUAGGAAGACCCGCUGAACUUAAGC
rnacentral:misc_RNA from 1 species